rnacentral:rRNA from 1 species
UAGAGGAAGUAAAAGUCGUAACAAGGUCUCCGUUGGUGAACCAGCGGAGGGAUCAUUACUGAGUUACCGCUCAUCAACCCUUUGUGAACAUACCUUAACUGUUGCUUCGGCGGGUAGGCGUCCCCUAAAAAGGACGUCUCCCGGCCCUCUCCCGUCCGCGGGUGGGGCGCCCGCCGGAGGAUAACCAAACUCUGAUUAACGACGUUUCUUCUGAGUGACACAAGCAAAUAAUCAAAACUUUUAACAACGGAUCUCUUGGUUCUGGCAUCGAUGAAGAACGCAGCGAAAUGCGAUAAGUAAUGUGAAUUGCAGAAUUCAGUGAAUCAUCGAAUCUUUGAACGCACAUUGCGCCCGCCAGCAUUCUGGCGGGCAUGCCUGUUCGAGCGUCAUUUCAACCCUCAAGCUCUGCUUGGUGUUGGGGCUCUACGGUUGACGUAGGCCCUUAAAGGUAGUGGCGGACCCUCUCGGAGCCUCCUUUGCGUAGUAACAUUUCGUCUCGCAUUGGGAUUCGGAGGGACUCUAGCCGUAAAACCCCCAAUUUUACUAAGGUUGACCUCGGAUCAGGUAGGAAUACCCGCUGAACUUAAGCAUA